AGAGUUUGAUCCUGGCUCAGGACGAACGCUGGCGGCGUGCUUAACACAUGCAAGUCGAACGGAAAGGCCCUUCGGGGUACUCGAGUGGCGAACGGGUGAGUAACACGUGGGUGAUCUGCCCUGCACUUUGGGAUAAGCCUGGGAAACUGGGUCUAAUACCGAAUAGGACCGCGCUCUUCAUGGGGUGUGGUGGAAAGCUUUUGCGGUGUGGGAUAGGCCCGCGGCCUAUCAGCUUGUUGGUGGGGUAAUGGCCUACCAAGGCGACGACGGGUAGCCGGCCUGAGAGGGUGACCGGCCACACUGGGACUGAGAUACGGCCCAGACUCCUACGGGAGGCAGCAGUGGGGAAUAUUGCACAAUGGGCGCAAGCCUGAUGCAGCGACGCCGCGUGAGGGAUGACGGCCUUCGGGUUGUAAACCUCUUUCAAUAGGGACGAAGCGCAAGUGACGGUACCUAUAGAAGAAGGACCGGCCAACUACGUGCCAGCAGCCGCGGUAAUACGUAGGGUCCGAGCGUUGUCCGGAAUUACUGGGCGUAAAGAGCUCGUAGGUGGUUUGUCGCGUUGUUCGUGAAAACUCACAGCUUAACUGUGGGCGUGCGGGCGAUACGGGCAGACUAGAGUACUGCAGGGGAGACUGGAAUUCCUGGUGUAGCGGUGGAAUGCGCAGAUAUCAGGAGGAACACCGGUGGCGAAGGCGGGUCUCUGGGCAGUAACUGACGCUGAGGAGCGAAAGCGUGGGGAGCGAACAGGAUUAGAUACCCUGGUAGUCCAA
rnacentral:rRNA from 1 species